rnacentral:rRNA from 1 species
CCUANGGGAGGCUGCAGUAACGAAUAUUCCGCAAUGCGCGAAAGCGUGACGGAGCAAUGCCGCGUGCAGGAUGAAGCGGUUUCGCCGUGUAAACUGCUGUCAGGGACUAGAAAUACUGAUCAGUCCCAAAGGAAGAGACGGCUAACCCUGUGCCAGCAGCCGCGGUAAUACAGGGGUCUCGAGCGUUAAUCGGAAUCACUGGGCUUAAAGGGUGCGCAGGCGGACCAGAGGGUGUUUCGUGAAAGCCCCCGGCUCAACCGGGGAACUGCGAAGCAAACCGCUGGUCUUGAGGUGGGUAGGGGUCGUUGGAACGCUCGGUGGAGCGGUGAAAUGCGUAGAUAUCGAGCGGAACGCCGAAGGUGAAGACAAGCGACUGGGCCCAUUCUGACGCUCAUGCACGAAAGCGUGGGGAUCAAACAGGAUUAGAUACCCGGNUANUC